UCGGGAAUUUUGGGCAAUGGGCGAAAGCCUGACCCAGCAACGCCGCGUGAGGGAUGAAGUAUUUCGGUAUGUAAACCUCGAAAGAAUGGGAAGAAUAAAUGACGGUACCAUUUAUAAGCUCCGGCUAACUACGUGCCAGCAGCCGCGGUAAUACGUAGGGAGCAAGCGUUGUUCGGAUUUACUGGGCGUAAAGGGCGCGUAGGCGGCGCGGUAAGUCACUUGUGAAAUCUCUGAGCUUAACUCAGAACGGCCAAGUGAUACUGCUGUGCUAGAGUGCGGAAGAGGCAACCGGAAUUCUUGGUGUAGCGGUGAAAUGCGUAGAUAUCAAGAGGAACACCUGAGGCGAAGGCGGGUUGCUGGGCCGACACUGACGCUGAUGCGCGAAGGCCAGGGGAGCAAACG
rnacentral:rRNA from 1 species